CUCAACUGCUCGAAGCUCAGA
rnacentral:piRNA from 1 species